UGCAAAACACUUGAAAUGACCCUUGAACUCAGGUCCAGAUAUGCAUUUUACAUUGUUGUUUUUUGGUGUAAAUGCAUUUUCUGGUAUCUGAGGUUAACGGUAUGUAACUUCAAAACUAAAG
rnacentral:precursor_RNA from 9 species